AACGGCCGCGGUAUCUUGACCGUGCAAAGGUAGCAUAAUCAUUAGUCCUUUAAUAUGGGGCUGGCAUGAAGGGUUUAACGAGGAACUAGCUGUCUCAAUUUGAUUUAUUAAAAGUUAGCUUUUUAGUUAAAAGGCUAAAAUUUUGUUGGAAGACGAGAAGACCCUAUAGAGCUUUACAUUUACAUUUUGUAGGAUUAAUUUUGUUUUAUUUAUAUACUUCUUUAUUUAGGUGUUUUGUUGGGGUGACAUUAAAUAUAUAUUUAACUUUUAUUGUUCGGGAACCGUUUAUUUAUGAAUAUUUGAUCCAUUCUUAAUGAUCUUUAGAAUAAGUUACCUUAGGGAUAACAGCGUAAUCCCUUCUUGGAGUUCUUAUUUGCGGGGGGGCUUGCGACCUCGAUGUUGGAUUAAGAUGAUUAUUGGGCGUAGUAGCUUGAUUAAUGGGUCUGUUCGAC
rnacentral:rRNA from 1 species